UCCGUUUAUUUUGUAGCGUUUUGGCGCUGGCAGCAUAAGUAUGUACAACCUAAACGAACUGGCAUAGCUCCCUUCUUCCAAGUUACAGUCGCUUCUAUGAUUUUUUUUUAUGUAAUAAAUUAUAAAAAGCUACGUGAGUAUUUAAAA
rfam:Cyphomyrmex costatus contig11722, whole genome shotgun sequence.